GGUAGGCCUAACACAUGCAAGUCGAACGGCAGCACAGGAGAGCUUGCUCUCUGGGUGGCGAGUGGCGGACGGGUGAGGAAUACAUCGGAAUCUACUUUUUCGUGGGGGAUAACGUAGGGAAACUUACGCUAAUACCGCAUACGACCUACGGGUGAAAGCAGGGGAUCUUCGGACCUUGCGCGAUUGAAUGAGCCGAUGUCGGAUUAGCUAGUUGGCGGGGUAAAGGCCCACCAAGGCGACGAUCCGUAGCUGGUCUGAGAGGAUGAUCAGCCACACUGGAACUGAGACACGGUCCAGACUCCUACGGGAGGCAGCAGUGGGGAAUAUUGGACAAUGGGCGCAAGCCUGAUCCAGCCAUACCGCGUGGGUGAAGAAGGCCUUCGGGUUGUAAAGCCCUUUUGUUGGGAAAGAAAUCCAGCUGGCUAAUACCCGGUUGGGAUGACGGUACCCAAAGAAUAAGCACCGGCUAACUUCGUGCCAGCAGCCGCGGUAAUACGAAGGGUGCAAGCGUUACUCGGAAUUACUGGGCGUAAAGCGUGCGUAGGUGGUCGUUUAAGUCCCUUGUGAAAGCCCCUGGGCUCAACCUGGCAACUGCACCGGAUACUGGGCGACUACAGUGUGGUAUAGGGUACCGGAAUUCUUGGUGCACCA
rnacentral:rRNA from 1 species